GCGAAUGCAAGUGCAAACACACCACAACUGCUUUUGUCAGCUUGUUUUUGACAACUUGGGGCAUACAAGCUGUAAUCUGUAUAACCCAACAAGCUGGAAAUUGCUUUCACCGUUUCCUCUUCGGAACUCCUUUCAAAUCCCAAGCUGUCAUACACGGCUACAUUAUGGUUUCUGCACACUGGGAAACCGGAAACAGCUAGGACCCAAUGGCAUUUUCCGGUAUGAAUUAUUUGUAUCCAACGUUUUUCUUUCGGCACAGUGUAAGUUCCGCUGAUUCCAACUCAUACUCUAAGAUUAACAAAGCAAUCGGCGCGCCAAUCAUGUAACAAUUGGUUGUUUUUCAAAUGGGCGCUUGCCAGAUGCAUUUCAUCUUCCUUUAAGUAUGCAUGGCCAUUCCCCCCCCCCCCCAUUAAAACAAAAGCUUUCUUUUGGUGUCAUGCAGAAAUAGUCAUGCAGUUUACUAUGCCAUCGCAACGUGCAUGACAGCUCGGUUCAUGCGGCGAAUUCAUGCAGAUUAUUAUCAUGCAGUCAUGCAGAGUUUUCAUGCACAUUACCAACACCCCCUUAUCAAUUAUUUUUAAAGUAUGUUAAGUAGGAAAAACAUUUAAGUACUAUAGAAAAAUAAGUGGCACGGUAGUAUUUCAAUUUUUUUAGUGUAUAAAAUAGUUUAAGUACGUUGAUACUAUUCAGUAGGCAAAUAUUACUCACAAAACAACAUAUAUAUAAAAAAAUAUAAGAAAUACAAAAAAUAUAAAAAAUACGAAAAAAUAUAAAAAAUACGGAAAAAUAUAAAAAAUUCGGAAAAAUAUAUUUUUAUUUAAAUAUUCGUACACCCAAAUCAUGAGUUGACUACCCCUUGGCGGAAAGGCAUUCUGUGAUACGUUGGUUUCAACGGAUAUUCAUCAUCAUUCCGAGCACUGGAGGGGGUUUUUGCAUCGUUAAUGAGCAAUUUCGUGUGCUACUCCCGAGCAAAUUAAAGCGGCUUUCAAAGAACCAGUUGCUGUUCCUGCAGGACCUCCCACUACAACGUCAUCUGUUCCCGUUUGUGAAACUACAGAAAGUUCUACUCUUGUUGAUCCAGUCGUUCAGCAGCAAAUGGUGGCAUCGUUUGCUUAACAAUCUGCAAUGAAUACGACUUGGUCAUUGAAGUUUUUAGAAGAAAACGGCUGGGUUUUCGAUCGUGCUGCCCUUGUUUUCACCGAGCUCAAAGCCGCCAACCAGAUCCCGCCAGAAGCGUUCAUCAAAUAGUACCGAGAUUAGGAUGUCGGUGAUAUUUUCUUGGAUGUUCUUACGAAUUGUUGGCAUCCAAUAAAAAAAUGUUUGCAGUUCAAUGAUACAAACUUGAUUGGAAAUUCGUCAUCUUAUUUGUGCGAACCAAUUUCGUAAUGCGAAGAUAGAGAUUAUAGUGUUUUCCUUCGUCUCUGAACAGAG